UACGGAGGGUGCGAGCGUUGUCCGGAAUCACUGGGCGUAAAGGGCGCGUAGGCGGCCUGAUAAGUAGGGGGUGAAAUCCUGCGGCUUAACCGCAGGGCUGCCUUCUAAACUGUCAGGCUAGAGCACAGUAGAGGCAGGUGGAAUUCCCGGUGUAGCGGUGGAAUGCGCAGAUAUCAGGAGGAACACCGAUGGCGAAGGCAGGUCUCUGGGCCGAUACUGACGCUGAGGAGCGAAAGCGUGGGGAGCGAACAGG
rnacentral:rRNA from 1 species